rnacentral:rRNA from 1 species
AUUGAACGCUGGCGGCAGGCCUAACACAUGCAAGUCGAACGGUAACAGGAAACAGCUUGCUGUUUCGCUGACGAGUGGCGGACGGGUGAGUAAUGUCUGGGAAACUGCCUGAUGGAGGGGGAUAACUACUGGAAACGGUAGCUAAUACCGCAUAACGUCGCAAGACCAAAGAGGGGGACCCUCGGGCCUCUUGCCAUCGGAUGCGCCCAGAUGGGAUUAGCUUGUUGGUGGGGUAACGGCUCACCAAGGCGACGAUCCCUAGCUGGUCUGAGAGGAUGACCAGCCACACUGGAACUGAGACACGGUACAGGCUCCUACGGGAGGCAGCAGUGGGGAAUAUUGCACAAUGGGCGCAAGCCUGAUGCAGCCAUGCCGCGUGUAUGAAGAAGGCCUUCGGGUUGUAAAGUACUUUCAGCGGGGAGGAAGGGAGUAAAGUUAAUACCUUUGCUCAUUGACGUUACCCGCAGAAGAAGCACCGGCUAACUCCGU